ensembl:lncRNA
CAAAGAAGGCGGGGGUGGGGGUAGCAGCAGAAGGAGCUACUCCCCGGCCGCUGCACAGUGACCAGAGCAGCCCGCGAUCAGAGCUCUGAACCCGACUAGUUCCUGGCUUCCUCUUCGGUUCCCUCCUCCUUCUGCAGCGACAACCCCCAGGGUCUCUCCGUAGAGCCUUCGAGAGCCCACGGUGGCCCGGGGCGCCGCGCCCUGACCCGCGCUCUAGGGUCGUGGAGGACUGCGCCCCAUCUGGGAAGACUGCGGCGCUAAGCCUCAAGUACCCCAGGGACACUGAGAAAUCGAAAAACGCGAGUCAGAGCAACUCCCGCCCCCCAGGAGCUGGGAACAAAGACCCCUUUGUUCCAGCUCUGUCCCUCUCCCGAGAGACCAGAGUCCCGUGGGUGUGGUGUCGUGGAGGGGAGGAGACAGGUCACUGCAGGUAACCCGCCUCCGCCUAGAACUUGGGAGGGGGAGGCACCCCACCGUGGUGUCCUAGGUAGCAAAGGCAGCCUGGGGCUCUGGAGGGAGGUGUCCCCCUUCAGGUGCACCUGCCAGCCCCAGCUCCAAGUCAGCUGAGUGCCUGCUACUCGGAUGAUGGGGUCUCUCCAGGUGUGAGGUUUGUGAACUCUCCUCGGCUCCGAAAGGAAUUUCAGCUAUAAACAAUGAUGGACUUGCACAAAGGAUUACAUGUGUCACUUGUUUGAAGAGCUCAUUGACCAUAAAUCUCUGAGGGAGAGGGAAAGAAAGAAUGGGAGGAGGGGAAAGAAAGGGAGCAUGCACUUGGGUUCCAGCAAACCUCAUCUGGAGGAAGGGUCCACCCAUGGAUCUGCUGUCACUCUAUCUCUUCUGUCUGCCACCUUUGCUACAUCCCAAGAAGACUUUCUGCAUCUUAAUUCUGAAUAUGAAAUGAAUAGGCUUUGUGUUUGUUUUCUCGUCGUUGUCUUUUGAGACUAGGUCACAUGCAACUUAAACUAGCCUUGAACUUCUAAUGUAGCCAAGGAAGAACUUGAACUUCUGAUUCCUGCUUCUACCUUCAAUGCUGGGACUGCAAGUCUAUGCGACUCCAUCUAGCUGCACUGGGUCAUUGGACUCCUGUUUAUCUAGUGAGUGUACCAGUAUCCCCUAAUUUCUCCAUCCAUGAACAACACUUGUUUAAGAUUCUUUACCACAUCUGGAGACAAGCCAUGGAACGCUUUACAAAUGAUUUGAUGGCUUAGUUUUGGCUCCCUCAGAGCCAUGCCCCACAUGGAUGGUGCAGCUUCUCAUGGAAUCAUCUAUCGCUCACACUUCAUUUCUCACCAUCCUCAAAUUUUAGGCUCAGGGAAAAUAAUUUUUUUAGAAAGAUCCCAGUUUACAGUAUUCUUCCAUGGCUCUGUGCUUGAUCACACUGACCUUACCUCCUAACACUUACUUUGCCCACCAGCCACCCCUCGGUUGUAGAGCAUCAAAGCCGUGCUCGCACCUUUAAGCGACUUGUUUUUGCUGAGUUACACAGAUAUGCUGUGAACACCCAUUCACAAAGCAGAUGUUGGGUGAUGAACAAGGCAACACAAAUAAAGUAAUUAUCUCAAUUUCUACUGUCUGUUCCCCGGUGUAUUCCCAGCAGCUUACAGAGUCCUUAGUGCAUUGUGGGAACAAAAUUGUAUGGGGGAGAAGUAAGUAUUAGUUAUCAUAAUUAUUAUCUCAACUACACCAAUAGUUGUUAGUUUAUCUGGUUUUUGUUUUCUGUUUUGUAUCAACCCCUGAGGUUGUAAGUCUGUCUAUCACAUAGGCUGUACUAGGCAAUGUUUGAUAAGUGAGCAAUGAGUGAACGAAUGGAUAGGAUUCACCUAGGGCAGAUCUUUCUGUUCAACAAGUGUGAGCACUAAAGUCGUCAUGCAUUUAUUGUUCACUUAGCUCUCCAGUCUCAUGAUUUCCUCACUGA